GUGAAAUUGAACUCGCUGUGAAGAUGCAGUGUACCCGCGGCAAGACGGAAAGACCCCGUGAACCUUUACUAUAGCUUGACACUGAACAUUGAGCCUUGAUGUGUAGGAUAGGUGGGAGGCUUUGAAGUGUGGACGCCAGUCUGCAUGGAGCCGACCUUGAAAUACCACCCUUUAAUGUUUGAUGUUCUAACGUGGACCCGUAAUCCGGGUUGCGGACAGUGUCUGGUGGGUAGUUUGACUGGGGCGGUCUCCUCCUAAAGAGUAACGGAGGAGCACGAAGGUUGGCUAAUCCUGGUCGGACAUCAGGAGGUUAGUGCAAUGGCAUAAGCCAGCUUGACUGCGAGCGUGACGGCGCGAGCAGGUGCGAAAGCAGGUCAUAGUGAUCCGGUGGUUCUGAAUGGAAGGGCCAUCGCUCAACGGAUAAAAGGUACUCCGGGGAUAACAGGCUGAUACCGCCCAAGAGUUCAUAUCGACGGCGGUGUUUGGCACCUCGAUGUCGGCUCAUCACAUCCUGGGGCUGAAGUAGGUCCCAAGGGUAUGGCUGUUCGCCAUUUAAAGUGGUACGCGAGCUGGGUUUAGAACGUCGUGAGACAGUUCGGUCCCUAUCUGCCGUGGGCGCUGGAGAACUGAGGGGGGCUGCUCCUAGUACGAGAGGACCGGAGUGGACGCAUCACUGGUGUUCGGGUUGUCAUGCCAAUGGCACUGCCCGGUAGCUAAAUGCGGAAGAGAUAAGUGCUGAAAGCAUCUAAGCACGAAACUUGCCCCGAGAUGAGUUCUCCCUGAGACUUAGAGUCUCCUGAAGGAACGUUGAAGACG
rnacentral:rRNA from 1 species